GACGAACGCUGGCGGCGUGCUUAACACAUGCAAGUCGAACGAUGAAGCCUAGCUUGCUAGGUGGAUUAGUGGCGAACGGGUGAGUAAUACGUGAGUAACCUACCUUUAACUCUGGGAUAAGCCUGGGAAACUGGGUCUAAUACCGGAUACGACCAAUCUCCGCAUGGGGUGUUGGUGGAAAGCGUUAUGUAGUGGUUAUAGAUGGGCUCACGGCCUAUCAGCUUGUUGGUGAGGUAACGGCUCACCAAGGCGACGACGGGUAGCCGGCCUGAGAGGGUGACCGGCCACACUGGGACUGAGACACGGCCCAGACUCCUACGGGAGGCAGCAGUGGGGAAUAUUGCACAAUGGGCGCAAGCCUGAUGCAGCGACCCCGCGUGAGGGAUGACGGCCUUCGGGUUGUAAACCUCUGUUAGCAGGGAAGAAGAGAGAUUGACGGUACCUGCAGAGAAAGCGCCGGCUAACUACCUGCCAGCAGCCGCGGUAAUACCUAGGGCGCGAGCGUUGUCCCGAAUUAUUGGGCGUAAGAGCUUGUAGGCGGUUUGUCGCGUCUGCUGUGAAAGGCCGGAGCUUAACUCCGUGUAUUGCAGUGGGUACGGGCAGACUAGAGUGCAGUAGGGGAGACUGGAAUUCCUGGUGUAGCGGUGGAAUGCGCAGAUAUCAGGAGGAACACCGAUGGCGAAGGCAGGUCUCUGGGCUGUAACUGACGCUGAGAAGCGAAAGCAUGGGGAGCGAACAGGAUUAGAUACCCUGGUAGUCCAUGCCGUAAACGUUGGGCACUAGGUGUGGGGAACAUUCCACGUUUUCCGCGCCGUAGCUAACGCAUUAAGUGCCCCGCCUGGGGAGUACGGCCGCAAGGCUAAAACUCAAAGAAAUUGACGGGGGCCCGCACAAGCGGCGGAGCAUGCGGAUUAAUUCGAUGCAACGCGAAGAACCUUACCAAGGCUUGACAUAUACUGGAUCGCAUCAGAGAUGGUGUUUCCCUUCGGGGCUGGUAUACAGGUGGUGCAUGGUUGUCGUCAGCUCGUGUCGUGAGAUGUUGGGUUAAGUCCCGCAACGAGCGCAACCCUCGUUCUAUGUUGCCAGCACGUUAUGGUGGGGACUCAUAGGAGACUGCCGGGGUCAACUCGGAGGAAGGUGGGGAUGACGUCAAAUCAUCAUGCCCCUUAUGUCUUGGGCUUCACGCAUGCUACAAUGGCCGGUACAGAGGGUUGCGAUACUGUGAGGUGGAGCUAAUCCCUAAAAGCCGGUCUCAGUUCGGAUUGGGGUCCGCAACUCGACCCCAUGAAGACGGAGUCGCUAGUAAUCGCAGAUCAGCAACGCUGCGGUGAAUACGUUCCCGGGCCU
rnacentral:rRNA from 1 species